rnacentral:misc_RNA from 1 species
GAUGAAGAACGUAGCGAAAUGCGAUAAUUAAUGUGAAUUGCAGAAUUCCGUGAAUCAUCGAGUCUUUGAACGCACAUUGCGCCUCAUGGCAUUCCGUGAGGCAUGCCCAUCUCAGCGUUAAAAAAUAUUCUCAAAUUUUAGUUUUGUGCUAAAAUUUGGAUCAUGUCAAGGAAGCUAUUACUAUUAUUGUGAUCGCUCUUUGGAAAUUGAUAGGUCUUUGAGUUGCUACUCAUAGAACGUGAUGAAUCUUUCUUCGUUCUAUUGUAAUUCACUCUGGUAGUCCUAAAACUUGUAUGCCUGUGGCAUAUCUUGUAAUUUGACCUGAGAUUGGGUAGGGAUACCCGCUGAACUUAAGCAUAUCAAUAAGCGGAGGA